CAGGGAGACAACAAAAUGUUUAAUAUUAUUUUGUCACCUUAGGUCGAUCGGUAUCUCACAUUCUUAAUUUAUUGAGGAUUUCAAGUCCUAAGUUUUUUCUAGGUCACACCCAUUACUUUUCCUGGGCCAUUAGCUCAGGUGGUUAGAGCGCACCCCUGAUAAGGGUGAGGUCCCUGGUUCAAGUCCAGGAUGCCCAUAUCUCUAUGUUGGGGGAUAGCUCAUGGUAGAGCGCCUGCUUUGCAAGCAGGAUGUCAGCGGUUCGAGUCCGCUUACCUCCACUGAUUACCACCUCUUGCAUAAACUAUGGAAAUGUUUUGAGUUGUGAUCAAAUCCUGAACGAAUCUAGCUUCCUAAUGAAACUAUUAAGAUGCUGGACUCAUUGAAUUAAUUUCAUUGUUUUCAGAGAACCUUGACAACUGCAUAGAUUAUUUUAAAGACAUUAAGCAUCUUAAAUGAUGCAGAUUUAUUAUUUGUGCGAAUGCAUUAAUAACAAUUCUAUUAAGCUGAUGCUUCAA
rnacentral:tRNA from 1 species